rnacentral:rRNA from 1 species
UACGGAGGGGGCUAGCGUUGUUCGGAAUUACUGGGCGUAAAGCGUGCGCAGGCGGUUAUGCAAGACAGAUGUGAAAUCCCCGGGCUCAACCUGGGAACUGCAUUUGUGACUGCAUAGCUAGAGUGCGGCAGAGGGAGAUGGAAUUCCGCGUGUAGCAGUGAAAUGCGUAGAUAUGCGGAGGAACACCGAUGGCGAAGGCAAUCUCCUGGGCCUGCACUGACGCUCAUGCACGAAAGCGUGGGGAGCAAACAGG